AUUGAACGCUGGCGGCAGGCCUAACACAUGCAAGUCGAGCGGAUGAGAAGAGCUUGCUCUUCGAUUCAGCGGCGGACGGGUGAGUAAUGCCUAGGAAUCUGCCUGGUAGUGGGGGACAACGUUUCGAAAGGAACGCUAAUACCGCAUACGUCCUACGGGAGAAAGCAGGGGACCUUCGGGCCUUGCGCUAUCAGAUGAGCCUAGGUCGGAUUAGCUAGUUGGUGAGGUAAUGGCUCACCAAGGCUACGAUCCGUAACUGGUCUGAGAGGAUGAUCAGUCACACUGGAACUGAGACACGGUCCAGACUCCUACGGGAGGCAGCAGUGGGGAAUAUUGGACAAUGGGCGAAAGCCUGAUCCAGCCAUGCCGCGUGUGUGAAGAAGGUCUUCGGAUUGUAAAGCACUUUAAGUUGGGAGGAAGGGCAGUAAGUUAAUACCUUGCUGUUUUGACGUUACCGACAGAAUAAGCAACCGGCUAACUCUGUGCCAGCAGCC
rnacentral:rRNA from 1 species